rnacentral:rRNA from 2 species
UACAGAGGUCCCAAGCGUUGUUCGGAUUCACUGGGCGUAAAGGGUGCGCAGGUGGCGGGAAAAGUUUGAUGUGAAAUCUCCGGGCUUAACCCGGAAAUGGCAUUGAAUACUCUUCCGCUGGAGGUUUGGAGGGGGGACUGGAAUUCUUGGUGUAGCAGUGAAAUGCGUAGAUAUCAAGAGGAACACCAGUGGCGAAGGCGAGUCCCUGGACAACACCUGACACUGAGGCACGAAAGCUAGGGGAGCAAACAGG